GAUGAACGCUGGCGGCGUGCUUAACACAUGCAAGUCGAACGGUGAAGGAGGAGCUUGCUCUUCUGGAUCAGUGGCGAACGGGUGAGUAACACGUGAGCAAUCUGCCCUUGACUCUGGGAUAACAGUUGGAAACAGCUGCUAAUACCGGAUACGAGACGUGACCGCAUGGUCAACGUUUGGAAAGAACUUCGGUCAAGGAUGAGCUCACGGCCUAUCAGCUAGUUGGUGAGGUAAUGGCUCACCAAGGCGACGACGGGUAGCCGGCCUGAGAGGGUGACCGGCCACACUGGGACUGAGACACGGCCCAGACUCCUACGGGAGGCAGCAGUGGGGAAUAUUGCACAAUGGGCGAAAGCCUGAUGCAGCAACGCCGCGUGAGGGACGACGGCCUCGGUUGUAA
rnacentral:rRNA from 1 species